rnacentral:rRNA from 1 species
GUGCCAGCAGCCGCGGUAAUACGUAGGGUGCGAGCGUUAAUCGGAAUUACUGGGCGUAAAGCGAGCGCAGACGGUUACUUAAGCAGGAUGUGAAAUCCCCGGGCUCAACCUGGGAACUGCGUUCUGAACUGGGUGACUAGAGUGUGUCAGAGGGAGGUAGAAUUCCACGUGUAGCAGUGAAAUGCGUAGAGAUGUGGAGGAAUUACCGAUGGCGAAGGGCAGCCUCCUGGGAUAACACUGACGUUCUUGCUCGAAAGCGUGGGUACGAAAACAAGGAUUAAAUACCCUGGUAGUCC